rnacentral:SRP_RNA from 1 species
CCGACGACCCAAUGAGCCGAGUUCUCAAAGAGGCCGCCGAGGUUGCAGCUGCUGGCAUCGACAUCAAGAGAAGGGACAAAACCCCAAAGAAGAAAAAGGAUCGUUCGCGAUCGCGCCGCCGUCGCCGCCACCGCUCCUCCUCCAGCUAGGCAAACAAACAAACAAAAACAACAUUUCAU